UCUCCGUUGGUGAACCAGCGGAGGGAUCAUUACAGAGUUGCAAAACUCCCACAAACCAUCGCGAAUCUUACCCGUACGGUUGCCUCGGCGCUGGCGGUCCGGAAGGCCUUCGGGCCCCCGGACCCUCGGGUCUCCCGCUCGCGGGAGGCUGCCCGCCGGAGUGCCGAAACCAAACUCUUGAUAUUUUAUGUCUCUCUGAGUAAACUUUUAAAUAAGUCAAAACUUUCAACAACGGAUCUCUUGGUUCUGGCAUCGAUGAAGAACGCAGCGAAAUGCGAUAAGUAAUGUGAAUUGCAGAAUUCAGUGAAUCAUCGAAUCUUUGAACGCACAUUGCGCUCGCCAGUAUUCUGGCGAGCAUGCCUGUUCGAGCGUCAUUUCAACCAUCAAGCUCUGCUUGCGUUGGGGAUCCGCGGCUGCCCGCGGUCCCUCAAAAACAGUGGCGGGCUCGCUAGUCACACCGAGCGUAGUAACUAUACAUCGCUAUGGUCGUGCGGCGGGUUCUUGCCGUAAAACCCCCAAUUUCUAAGGUUGACCUCGGAUCAGGUAGGAAUACCCGCUGAACUUAA
rnacentral:rRNA from 1 species